CCCGCCGGGCCGCGAGCCUUCUUGUAAGGACCGACGAAAGAAACGGAGAAAGUACCCACCCCGCCAGGCCGCUGCCCGCACUCACCCGAACGGGUGACGGGUGAUCAGAUCAGCGGUUCGGGUGAGGUACGGUCGGCGCUACAACAGCACACGAAAUGGCCCCCGGCAGGACGGCAAUCCUGGUCGAGGGCCUGACCACCAAGGAAGAAGUAGCUUCCCG
rnacentral:ncRNA from 1 species